AGAGUUUGAUCCUGGCUCAGGAUGAACGCUAGCGGCAGGCUUAAUACAUGCAAGUCGAGGGGCAGCGCAGUGUAGCAAUACAUGGGCGGCGACCGGCAAACGGGUGCGGAACACGUACGCAACCUUCCUUCAAAUGGGGAAUAGCCCAGGGAAACUUGGAUUAAUACCCCGUAACAUUACGAGAUGGCAUCAUUUUGUAAUUAUAGCUACGGCGUUUGAAGAUGGGCGUGCGCCUGAUUAGGUAGUUGGCGGGGUAACGGCCCACCAAGCCUGCGAUCAGUAACUGGUGUGAGAGCACGACCAGUCACACGGGCACUGAGACACGGGCCCGACUCCUACGGGAGGCAGCAGUAAGGAAUAUUGGUCAAUGGACGCAAGUCUGAACCAGCCAUGCCGCGUGGAGGAUGAAGGUCCUCUGGAUUGUAAACUUCUUUUAUUUGGGAAGAAACCCACGGUUUCUACUGUGGUUGACGGUACCAGAUGAAUAAGCACCGGCUAACUCCGUGCCAGCAGCCGCGGUAAUACGGAGGGUGCAAGCGUUAUCCGGAUUCACUGGGUUUAAAGGGUGCGUAGGCGGGCAGGUGAGUCAGUGGUGAAAUCCCCGAGCUUAACUUGGGAACUGCCGUUGAUACUAUCUGUCUUGAAUACUAUGGAGGUAAGCGGAAUAUGUCAUGUAGCGGUGAAAUGCUUAGAUAUGACAUAGAACACUCAAUUGCGAAGGCAGCUUGCUACACAGUUAUUGACGCUGAGGCACGAAAGCGUGGGGAUCAAACAGGAUUAGAUACUCUGGUAGUCCACGCUCUAAACGAUGGAUACUCGACAUCAGCGAUACACUGUUGGUGUCUGAGCGAAAGCAUUAAGUAUCCCAUCUGGGAAGUACGACCGCAAGGUUGAAACUCAAAGGAAUUG
rnacentral:rRNA from 1 species